UACGGAAGGGGCAAGCGUUGUUCGGAAUCAUUGGGCGUAAAGGGCGUGUAGGUGGUUCUAUAUGUCUACCGUGAAAGCGUACGGCUCAACCGUAUUUAGUCGGUAGAAACUGCAGGACUUGAGGCUGGGAGGGGCUGGUGGAAUUCCCCGUGUAGCGGUGAAAUGCGUAGAGAUGGGGGAGAACACUCGUGGCGAAGGCGGCCAGCUAGACCAGUUCUGACACUGAGGCGCGAUAGCGUGGGGAGCAAACAGG
rnacentral:rRNA from 1 species